CAGCCGCCACGGGAAUACGGAGGGCGCGAGCGUUACCCGGAUUUACUGGGCGUAAAGGGCGUGUAGGCGGCCUGGGGCGUCCCAUGUGAAAGGCCACGGCUCAACCGUGGAGGAGCGUGGGAUACGCUCAGGCUAGAGGGUGGGAGAGGGUGGUGGAAUUCCCGGAGUAGCGGUGAAAUGCGCAGAUACCGGGAGGAACGCCGAUGGCGAAGGCAGCCACCUGGUCCACUUCUGACGCUGAGGCGCGAAAGCGUGGGAGCAAACCAGAUUAGAUACCCCAGUAGUCCCUGUCUCUUAUACA
rnacentral:rRNA from 1 species